UACGGAGGAUGCGAGCGUUAUCCGGAUUUAUUGGGUUUAAAGGGUGCGUAGGCGGACGCUUAAGUCAGCGGUAAAAUUGCGGGGCUCAACCUCGUCGAGCCGUUGAAACUGGGUGCCUUGAGUGGGCGAGAAGUACGCGGAAUGCGUGGUGUAGCGGUGAAAUGCAUAGAUAUCACGCAGAACUCCGAUUGCGAAGGCAGCGUACCGGCGCCCAACUGACGCUGAAGCACGAAGGCGUGG
rnacentral:rRNA from 1 species